UCCGGCUUAUCACCUGUGUUCCAGUUCCCUUUCGGGCACACCCGCCUUUCAGCAGGCUUCCGGACAUGUCAAGGGUAGGUAAGGUUGUUCGCGUUGCAUCGAAUUAAUCCACAUCAUCCACCGCUUGUGCGGGUCCCCGUCAAUUCCUUUGAGUUUUAACCUUGCGGCCGUACUCCCCAGGCGGAUGACUUAACGCGUUAGCUGCGCCACCGGAACGCUAAGCGCCCCGACAGCUAGUCAUCAUCGUUUACAGCGUGGACUAC
rnacentral:misc_RNA from 1 species